CAAGGGAAAGCUGAAAACCUUCAGAAAAGAGUAAGCG
rfam:Chitinophaga eiseniae strain DSM 22224 genome assembly, contig: Ga0070509_103